rnacentral:rRNA from 1 species
CCUACGGGAGGCAGCAGUGAGGAAUAUUGGUCAAUGGACGAGAGUCUGAACCAGCCAAGUAGCGUGAAGGAUGACUGCCCUAUGGGUUGUAAACUUCUUUUAUAUGGGAAUAAAAUGUUCCACGUGUGGGAUUUUGUAUGUACCAUAUUAAUAAGGAUCGGCUAACUCCGUGCCAGCAGCCGCGGUAAUACGGAGGAUCCGAGCGUUAUCCGGAUUUAUUGGGUUUAAAGGGAGCGUAGGUGGAUUGUUAAGUCAGUUGUGAAAGUUUGCGGCUCAACCGUAAAAUUGCAGUUGAAACUGGCAGUCUUGAGUACAGUAGAGGUGGGCGGAAUUCGUGGUGUAGCGGUGAAAUGCUUAGAUAUCACGAAGAACUCCGAUUGCGAAGGCAGUUCACUGGACUGCAACUGACACCGAGGCUCGAAAGUGUGGGUAUCAAACAGGAUUAGAUACCCGAGUAGUC